rnacentral:rRNA from 1 species
UACGGAGGGCGCAAGCGUUGUUCGGAAUCACUGGGCGUAAAGCGCGUGUAGGCGGCCGGGCAAGUCGGAUGUGAAAUCCCGAGGCUCAACCUCGGAACUGCAUUCGAAACUGCUCGGCUCGAGUCCCGGAGAGGAUGGCGGAAUUCACGGGGUAGGGGUGAAAUCCGUAGCUAUCGGGAGGAACACCAGUGGAGAAGGCGGCCAUCUGGACGGUGACUGACGCUGAGACGCCGAAGCGUGGCGAGGAAUCAGG